UACGUAGGGGGCAAGCGUUGUCCGGAAUCAUUGGGCGUAAAGAGCGUGUAGGCGGUCCGGUAAGUCGGCUGUGAAAGUCCAAGGCUCAACCUUGGGAUGCCGGUCGAUACUGCCGGACUAGAGUUCGGAAGAGGCGAGUGGAAUUCCCGGUGUAGCGGUGAAAUGCGUAGAUAUCCGGAGGAACACCGGUGGCGAAGGCGGCUUCCUGGACCGACACUGACGCUGAGGCGCGAAAGCUAGGGGAGCAAACGGG
rnacentral:rRNA from 1 species